GACUAUUUUCUUAUUCAAAAAAAAAUCAGGAACUCUUGCACCCUGAUCCUGUCUUCAAAUCAUUAAUGAAAAUAGGCCCAAUAGAUACACUGAAGUUGCAUUUGUCUUAUUUUUCCCCUUUUAAACACACACACACACACACACACUUCAGUUUGGUCAGUAAAAACCUUAGGGCCAGAUUUGGGGCAAGUGUGUAAAACUUUAUAGCACACAUUCAUUUCAUUCUGGUAUUUAUAUCUUUUCUUUUCUUCUUUAAUUUUUAAUUUUUUAUUUUUUUCAGUCUCUGUAGAGACUGUCAAAAAUUGCCAAAGCUGACUAUAUUUCAAGUCGUCAUGGCGGAGUAUUGGGAAAAGUUUUCAAUUAGUAAUAAUCGUGCCUCAGAAGAACCUCAUUGGCUACGAUACUGCCACUGCGCAAAGCUAAUAUAUAUCUUUUCAAGCUGCUCCAAAUCCUCUUGGACAAUAGGGGAUAGAGGGAGCAUACAUAAAUACCGUUAAGAAGGAGAUAUCCAGGUGCCCCCACUCAGGAAAGAAAAAGAGAAUGUUAGUCUGUACCCUGUCAAAACAGAACUAUGGCAGAAGCCAGUCUCAUUUGUUCACGCCAAGAAAAUGGGAAUUGCUGCACCAAAAAGGAAAACACAAAUUAGCACACACCAAAACAAACAGGGAUGUUUUAAAUGCAGGCACAAAACAGCUUUGCUUUGUUUUUCCACAAGCAACUGGCUGCUUGCCUUGGACCUAUAAGAACUAAAUUAUGGACCUAGAUUUCUAAGUAACCUCCAAGCUUAUUGCAGAUUUUUUUCCAUUAGAAUUUAAGAAGCAGAUUUCCACUGAGACUAAAUUAUAAAACACAGAACCUUUUAAAUCUGUCAGUUGUUGGCUUAUAAUAAUACUGGCCAAAAACAUGAUUCUCCACUAAAAAUGUCAGUGUUGGUUGGGAAGCCAAGCAUCAUCAGCCUUCUAGAAUUUACCCACCAGGAGUAUUGUCGCUUUUCAUUAUAACACCGGUGGAGCUUGUAAAGAGAGGAAGGAAAAAAAGAAAGCUUUCAGCUAGCACCUGGUCAAAAUGAAUCACCUUGUUAAUUUGAUCUUAAUCAGACUUCUAUUUGCUUUUUUUUUUUUUUUUUUUUGACGCAAUUUUUCAGCAUCUUCCAGGAAACAAUCUAAAAAUCCAGAGACCACAUUUUGAGAAAUGUGCUUGAAGGUGCUGAAAGGACAGCAAGUGAUGAAGCCUCUUACAGCACGUGUAUGAAGAUGAUUAUUGUGUAUAUGAAAGUCUCCCCCCAAAAAAACAGCCACCUGAUGGAAGGAAGAACCCUGCCAACAUGGAAUGGGAAAAAAAAAAAACUUUACAACUCUUCAGUGUUCCCUGGAGUGGAGGGAUGUGUACGGUUAAGUUUAAAUCUAGAAAUUGUGAAGAGAACAUUUCAAGAAGUGGAAUAAAACUGGACUUGCUUGGGAUGAUCUCUGGAAUGAAUGACGUGUGGGCUUAUUUAUCAAAAAGGGCUUCGAAGCCAGAUGGAAGACAUUCCUUAGUCUUUCCCUGUACUUAAGUGAGGCAGUGAAUGUACUUAAACCUUGCCUACCUCUUCUGUGAGUUGGUGUGUGAUUUUAAAUUGCUACAGGAUAACGCUGUAAACUUUAUGAGACUGCUGUGAAUAGCUAAUGAGGGCAAGCAGUUGGACUAUAUCAAUCAGCAUUAUUCACUGCACCAAUAAUAAACAUACAAAUUCCAUUAUUAGCCUUAGCAUACAACUGCUUGUUCCAAAACCAUGUACAUUUUAGUGCCUGUUUUUUUUCACCAUGGGUCCACUAGGGACUUCUUUAUUGUUUUGGCAUUAAAGCCUAAAA